AACAGUAGCAUGCAAGAAGGUUUGUACUCCUAUUGAUGAGGAGGUUUGGGGAUUAGAUCUCUAGUUUGUCAUAAUGAAGCCUUUAAUUUGAAGCUAUGUUGGAAUUUGCUAAACUCAGAAAAAUUGCUUAUGAUUUUAAGAGGUAUCAUCAUCCUAUCCUUGACUAGGCCAAGACCAUUUGGUGUAUUGACAUACCUCCCUCUAGACUUAUGCAUGCAACUAGCCACCGAUGAAAAUUUGAAGAUUCGUGUGGUUGCAACUUGCCUUAUGUUUGCUCUCUUUGUUUUGUCGUGAGGAAUCCACUUUUCACUUGUUGUUUGAAUGUAGCUUUGCUUUUUUAUCUAUGGUGUUGACUUGCUUUUAUCUUGAAUUUAACCUUGCAUUUUCAAUCCAUUGAAGACUUAUGGAAGCUGUGUGAUAGAGGUUGGAAUGCUCAAUGUAAUUAAGUUAGUCAUCAAAACUAUUAUUGUGAACAUCAUCAAUAUGAUUUGGCUAACUAGAAUUAAUAUGAGAGUCAAUAACAAAAAAUCAACUUGGCACUCUGCUAUUGCUUUCAUUUCUUCUAAUGUUACUUUAUCCGAAAACAAAACUAAAUUGUUGGCCUCAGGAUCUAUGAGAGAUUUUUCUAUUUUAA
rnacentral:lncRNA from 1 species